rnacentral:lncRNA from 1 species
GAGAUGCGAUUGUUACAGUGGACCCCGAACGGGUCGAGUGCAGCGCCCAUAGGAGCGCCUCCCGCACAACACUGUGGGCCUUAUUCAAAAAGAACUCGGCCAGGCCGUACUAACUUCACUGGACACACGGCCUCAGUUAGUACGCUUAAACAGAAAAUUGAGGCUCCGACGUGCGCCCUCAAACUUCGUCAUUGUAUAUCGGUAAACGGCAAACAACCAUGUCUGCGUCAUUGACAUAUAAGAAAGGGUGAUUGUGAGGUACAUGAUCCCAAUGUUUUGGCAAGUAGUCCCGUGCCGCAAAAGCAGUUAAACGGGCCCAAAAGUCAGAGAUAACCUCGUAAGUAAUGCGGUUAAGCGAUGGCGUUGAUAUAGGCAUGUUGGUCUGGAGACCUUCCCUAAACAACAAACGGCGACCGAGAUUGAGUGAGCUGAUGGCCGCAAGGCAUACAACCUCCCAUACACACGCACAAAUCCAGGUUGGUGGAAUGCCCAACCACAGGUUAGCCCGGUUGAAAAGGUCAGGGAACUGAAGUUCGUUUUGCAGAGCUUCACGAAGAGCCAACGCGACAGUACAAUCCCAGAAAUGAUGCCGACGAUCCCCACAAAGCAUGCGUACACCACAGGGGCACAUAGCAGCCUGUAUACCUCUUUGACGUUGCGCCCUAUGCAUAGGAAAGGCAGGGAAACCAUCAAGAGCCAGCCUCCAAAGGGCUUCUUUAUGCUCGUUAUCCCACCGAAGUCUCCACAUGCGCGUUCACUGAAGGACUCUUAUCUCUAACAGUUGGGACGAUAAAACUCCGACACAAAGCUAUUUUCCUGUAAGCUCAGUCAUCUUCCCCACCAGCUUUUUACAUGGAGUGCUAUUUGUGCAGCACAAAUUGCAGUAGCUCUAAGGGUUCAUUGCAGCAGCUGCAAUUAGAACGGUUUCAGGGUGGUCUUACUGCAGCCAGUCUUAGUCAAACGUAUACACGGCGAUGAUAAGCAGCCUUCUACUGUGCAAUUUGUGAUCAACAGUUUUCGGCACGAUUUCGCGUGACGGAGGCUAGCCGGCUACAUACGCUCCUCUUAUGUCAGCUACGUUACACGGAGAGUAAAGGAUAAGGCACACUCCUGUCUAUUCACGCCCGCCAGGGUCGGUGCAGCCCACGAAAGACACGAAAGAUACGGCCGGCCGUAUAUAUCACGCGCCAAUCAAGUACCGAUAAAAGACGACCACCAUGCCCCCAUGCACUGCGGUCUGCACCCGUGGCAUAGGCCAGCACCGGACAGCAACGCAAGGCUGCCAACCAGUCACAUCCACACCACGUUUUCCGCGCAAGCACACUUGGCGUUAUCCUGCACUGAAGACCAGCGGCACGAGCAGUUGCCCGUCUAGGUAAGUUCCUUACAUGGAAGCAGAUCCGGACACAUGGAGUCGUCAUGCCGCAAACCCACACGGAGGAUCUUGCAACCUUAUCCUAUGCCAAGCUCUCCUUAGCUUGCCUAAUCGCGUGGUCCAGGACCCUACCGCACCUCCCAACCCCCCAAGACCCAGAUACGAUUUCCCAAAGCCUCACAGACGCACCCCGUGCUCAGAAGAUUCGACGUACAGCAAAUGUACGGCUACUACUCGAACGACAAACGGACCGCUCAC